GUGCACAGGAAGGAAUUACAAGGAGAGGACAGCUUUGACGGUCGACAACGCGGACAACGUGGACCAUGAAGAAGUCUUACUUCGUUUUCAUAUGCCUGCUGGGCCUGGUCGUAAGCGACAACAGCACCAUCGGUGAUUCGAUCAUCGAAGACGUUUCGGAGGUCACGAACACCGGCAACAAUCUUGACGUGGACUCAGGGGAUCAGAGCGUCGCGUGGGGCGAGUGGUCGCCUUGGUCCAAGUGGUCCGGCUGUUCCAGG